rnacentral:tRNA from 1 species
AAAGCCUUAAGUUAAAUAAACUAAUAACCUUCAAAGUUAAAAAUACAAAAAUUGUAAGCUUUA